AGGCUGCAGAGCAUCCAGUCACCAAUCUAUGCAGGCCCACAAGUUGCCUGAGGGCUUGUUGUUGGGUGGGGCCAGUCUCUAGGGUGGGCUGCCUGCCCUGGCUGAGCUGGAUUAAAUCGGUGCUCUAGCGGGUGGGGCAGACCUGGGCUAGCAGGCCCCAGGGAGAACUCCAAUGGCGUCUGUGUCAGCACACCCACAUCAGGCCACAACAAUGGCCGCCGCCAAUGUCCCAGUCCCUGGAGAGGUCUCACCUCUCACCAAGAUGCACUCAGAGCCUAUCAGACAGAUCAUUGAGAAGUGUCUUCAUUCAACAGAAUCUGUUGUGAUCAAUCCUCUUACAUACUGCUUUUCCAGAGCUAUCUAGGAAUUAAGAAAAACCAUUCUCUGGCUUAUGCCUUGAGCCUAAGGGAGAGAGGAGCUAGGCCAUGGAGAAGGCAACGUCUGAGAGUCAUGGAAUCUCAAGGUUGAAGGAGAACUGAAAGGUCAUCUAUGUUGAUUUUGAGGAAGGACAUUAUUUUUUCGGUCAAAACGUAUCAUACGAUGAGCCUCAUGAAAGGCCGCAGAUCUGAGAAGAACCAUUGAGGAAAGGAAACAGAUACUGAGUUCAAAGCCAUCAGUUCCUGGGACCCAUGGUCCAUGCCUGGACAGCCUCAGCACGCUGACGGGGGCAGCCUGGCACACGGCACGCAGCAGCUGGAGCUGUUGGGAGCCUGGGAAUUAUUACAAACAGUCUCUGAAGGGUUGCGGCUUCUACAGCGACAUGUGUUUGUGGUUUGCAGACGGCUGGACUAAGAAUUCGAAUUCUCAUAUAUAAAUAAAUAUAUGUAAAAUUUACAUACGCAUCCAAUCCAGUGGGGGCCAUUUAGUGAAAGCAUGUUGGCAUCUAUUAGGAAUUCACUUUCUUGCCAGAGCUCGGAGACGCUAUGAAAUCUAAAGAGAAACUGCACAGACUGAAAUGAGAAUAGCACCUUGGUUCCCACCAAACAAAUAAAUCUUGCACUCAUUUGGGAGUUGGUUGGAUGAUCUGUUUUUUCCUGCACAGAGUGGUGCUAUUUCUGAAUCACUAAAUGCUUGCAGGAGCAGAGACGAUAGACUUAGUUCAGAA